rnacentral:rRNA from 1 species
UACGUAGGGGGCGAGCGUUGUCCGGAGUUACUGGGCGUAAAGCGCACGUAGGCGGCUUUGUAAGUUAGAGGUGAAAGCCCGGGGCUCAACUCCGGAAUUGGCCUUUAAGACUGCAUCGCUCGAAUUGUGGAGAGGUAAGUGGAAUUCCGAGUGUAGAGGUGAAAUUCGUAGAUAUUCGCAAGAACACCAGUGGCGAAGGCGGCUCACUGGCCCGGUACUGACGCUGAGGUGCGAAAGCGUGGGGAGCAAACAGG